CGCUGGUAAAAUGGAACCAAAU
rnacentral:miRNA from 1 species